rnacentral:rRNA from 1 species
UACGUAGGGGGCAAGCGUUGUCCGGAAUCAUUGGGCGUAAAGAGCGUGUAGGCGGCCCGAUAAGUCCGCUGUGAAAGUCCAGGGCUCAACCCUGGGAUGCCGGUGGAUACUGUCGGGCUCGAGUCCGGAAGAGGAGUGUGGAAUUCCUGGUGUAGCGGUGAAAUGCGCAGAUAUCAGGAGGAACACCGAUUGCGAAGGCAGCUCACUAAGUCAUAACUGACGCUGAUGCACGAAAGCGUGGGGAGCAAACAGG